rnacentral:tRNA from 1 species
AAUAUGAUUGCUGAGUGGUAAAGUGCUUGGCUUUUGAACCGAGAGGUCCCGGGUUCGAAUCUCGGUGAGACUG